rnacentral:tRNA from 1 species
GGAGAGUUGGCAGAGUGGUCGAAUGCGGCAGUCUUGAAAACUGUUUUACUUAACGGUAACGGGGGUUCGAAUCCCUCACUCUCCG